rnacentral:misc_RNA from 1 species
AACAGAAGCCGAUAAGCCUUAGAAAACCAAAGAAGGGGAGGGGUGGAAUCUCCUUUGAAAUCUAAGGCGGCUUUCUUGUUUUAUUUUUUUAAAGUAGUUGACAGUUAAAAGUUAAAACUCCAGUAUAAUAUGGUUGGAUUUAUUUUUUAUUUUUUUGAAAAUCAAAAAGCAAUGUAUUUGUCUUGUAUAUAAGGGGGCACUGUCUUAUCAACAAAACUCAUAAAAUGAAAAUGAAGAUUCAAAGCCUCUGUAU